rnacentral:lncRNA from 1 species
AUGUUUAUCCUCUUUUUUGUUGCCCCUUUUGUGGUUAUUUUUAUUCUAUCCACGAAAUAAAUGAGAUAGGGGGCGUCCAAGAGUUGGACGCCCCAAGGACUCCUUGUUAGACUUGGUCUUAUGACCUAGUCUGCCAUAUAAAAAGAGGCCACCCCAUAUGCCAUAAUAUAGGAGUCAAAAAUUUAUGAAAAAUUGAGAGAAAUACCAAAGGAGAAUGAGGAAGACUUGAGAGGUUUGAGGCACCAAAAUCCAUGGAGGAGAGUCCUCUAACAAGAGAUCACAAUUUGAUAUCUUGUAGAGAGAAAGGUAAGAGAGAAGAUUAUCUUCUCUUAUUAUUUUUUCUUUCAUAUUAAUAUCUCUUUAUUUUAUAUUUUUAUAUAUGAUAAAAAAUUUGAAAGAGAAAGAGGGAUGGCAUGGUGAAUUCAUGCUCUAAAGAGUUGGAGCAUGAUGAUUUUAUUUUGGACAUGAUAUGAUCAUGUUCUGAUGGAAGAAGAAGAA